rnacentral:rRNA from 1 species
UACGUAGGCAGCGAGCGUUGUUCGGAGUUACUGGGCGUAAAGGGUGCGUAGGCGGUUGUUUAAGUUUGGUGUGAAAUCUCCCGGCUCAACUGGGAGGGUGCGCCGAAUACUGAAUGACUAGAGUGCGGGAGAGGAUAGUGGAAUUCCUGGUGUAGCGGUGAAAUGCGUAGAUAUCAGGAGGAACACCGGUGGUGUAGACGGCUAUCUGGACCGUAACUGACGCUGAGGCACGAAAGCGUGGGUAGCAAACAGG